rnacentral:rRNA from 1 species
UACGGGGGGUGCAAGCGUUGUUCGGAAUUAUUGGGCGUAAAGAGCGUGUAGGCGGCGUAGUAAGUCAGCUGUGAAAGCCCUGGGCUCAACCCAGGAAGUGCAUUUGAAACUGCUAUGCUUGAGUACGGGAGAGGGAAGAGGAAGUCCUGGUGUAGAGGUGAAAUUCGUAGAUAUCAGGAGGAACACCGGUGGCGAAGGCGACUUCCUGGCCCGAUACUGACGCUGAGACGCGAGAGCGUGGGGAG